rnacentral:rRNA from 1 species
CAGCAGUAGGGAAUCUUCCACAAUGGGCGAAAGCCUGAUGGAGCAACGCCGCGUGCAGGAUGAAGGCCUUCGGGUUGUAAACUGCUUUUAUAAGCGAGAAAUAUGAUGGUAACUUAUGAAUAAGGAUCGGCUAACUACGUGCCAGCAGCCGCGGUCAUACGUAGGAUCCGAGCAUUAUCCGGAGUGACUGGGUGUAAAGAGUUGCGUAGGUGGCAUAGUAAGUAGCUAGUGAAAUCUGGUGGCUCAACCAUUCAGACUAUUAGCUAAACUGCUAAGCUCGAGACCGUUAGGGGUAACUGGAAUUUCUAGUGUAGGAGUGAAAUCCGUAGAUAUUAGAAGGAACACCGAUAGCGUAGGCAGGUUACUGGGACGGUUCUGACACUAAGGCACGAAAGCGUAGGGAGCAAACGGGAUUAGAUACCCCGGUAGUCUACGCCGUAAACGAUGGAUACUAGCAGUUUUGGGUAUCGACCCCCAGAGUUGCGAAGCUAACGCGUUAAGUAUCCCACCUGUGUAGUACGAUCGCAAGAUUAAAACAUAAAGGAAUUGACGGGGACCAGCACAAGCGGUGGAGCGUGAUCUUUAAUUCGAUGGUAAACGAUAAACCUUACCAAGGCUUGACAUCCGAGGAAGGCUCUCGAAAGAGAACUGUGCCUUCGGGAACCUCGAGACAGGUGAUGCAUGGCCGUCGUCAGCUCGUGUCGUGAGAUGUUUGGUUAAGUCCAUCAACGAGCGCAACCCUUGCAACCAGUUGGAUUUUUCUGGUAGGACUGCCCCAGUAAUGGGGAGGAAGGAGGGGAUGAUGUCAGGUCAGUAUUUCCCUUACGCCUUGGGCUAGAAUCGCGCUACAAUGGCCGGUACAAUGCGAAGCGAAGCAGUGAUGUGAAGCAAAUCGCACCAAAGCCGGUCCCAGUUCGGAUAAGAGGCUGAAACUCGCCUCUUUGAAGUCGGAAUCGCUAGUAAUCGCAGAUCAGCAUGUUGCGGUGAAUACGUUUCCUGGUCUUGUACACACCGCCCGUCAAACCAUGAGAGUCGCCAACACCCGAAGUCCGCUUUGCGGCCUAAGGUGGGGGAGAUGAUUGGGGUUAAGUCGUAACAAGGCAUCGGUACGAGAACGUGUCGAUG